rnacentral:rRNA from 1 species
GACGAACGCUGGCGGCGUGCUUAACACAUGCAAGUCGAACGGUGAACCUCUUCGGAGGGGAUCAGCGGCGAACGGGUGAGUAACACGUGGGCAACCUGCCCCCGGCUCUGGGAUAACUCCAAGAAAUUGGGGCUAAUACCGGAUGUUCACCGCUUCCCGCAUGGGUGGUGGUGGAAAGGGUUUCCGGCUGGGGAUGGGCCCGCGGCCUAUCAGCUUGUUGGUGGGGUAGUGGCCUACCAAGGCGACGACGGGUAGCCGGCCUGAGAGGGUGACCGGCCACACUGGGACUGAGACACGGCCCAGACUCCUACGGGAGGCAGCAGUGGGGAAUAUUGCGCAAUGGGCGGAAGCCUGACGCAGCGACGCCGCGUGGGGGAUGACGGCCUUCGGAUUGUAAACCUCUUUCAGCAGGGACGAAGCGCAAGUGACGGUACCUGCAGAAGAAGCACCGGCCAACUACGUG